rnacentral:tRNA from 483 species
GCGGUCGUGGCGGAAUUGGUAGACGCGCAGCGUUGAGGUCGCUGUGGGGUAACUCCCGUGGAAGUUCGAGUCUUCUCGACCGCACCA